rnacentral:tRNA from 1 species
GCCGAAAUAGCUCAGUUGGGAGAGCGUUAGACUGAAGAUCUAAAGGUCCCUGGUUCAACUCGGUUUCGCA